AUGGUAGGAUAGAGGCCUACCAUGGUGGUAACGGGUAACGGGGUGUUAGGGCACGACACCGGAGAGGGAGCCUGAGAAACGGCUACCACAUCCAAGGAAGGCAGCAGGCGCGCAAAUUACCCAAUCCCGACACGGGGAGGUAGUGACAAUAAAUAACAAUACGGGGUUCUUUGAAUCUUGUAAUUGGAAUGAGUACAAUUUAAAUCUCUUAACGAGGAACAAUUGGAGGGCAAGUCUGGUGCCAGCAGCCGCGGUAAUUCCAGCUCCAAUAGCGUAUAUUAAAGUUGUUGCAGUUAAAAAGCUCGUAGUUGAAUUUCGGGAUCAAUACGUCGGUCGUGCUUUCGGGUACGUACUGGCGUCAUUGGUUUCUCCUUUCUGACGAACCAUGAUGUCAUUAAUUUGGUGUUAUGGGGAGUUAGGACUGUUACUUUGAAAAAAUUAGAGUGUUUAAGGCAGGCAUUAGCUUGAAUACAUUAGCAUGGAAUAAUGAAAUAGGACGUUCGAUCCUAUUUUGUUGGUUUCUAGGAUCAACGUAAUGAUUAAUAGGGAUAGUUGGGGGCAUUAGUAUUCAAUUGUCAGAGGUGAAAUUCUUGGACUUAUUGAAGACUAACUACUGCGAAAGCAUUUGCCAAGGAUGUUUUCAUUAAUCAAGAACGAAAGUUAGGGGAUCGAAGACGAUCAGAUACCGUCGUAGUCUUAACCAUAAACUAUGCCGACUAGGGAUCGGAUGAUGUUAAUUUUUUAAUGACUCAUUCGGCGCCUUACGGGAAACCAAAGUGUUUGGG
rnacentral:rRNA from 1 species